AUUGAACGCUGGCGGCAUGCCUUACACAUGCAAGUCGAACGGACCCUUCGGGGUUAGUGGCGGACGGGUGAGUAACACGUGGGAACGUGCCUUUAGGUUCGGAAUAGCUCCUGGAAACGGGUGGUAAUGCCGAAUGUGCCCUUCGGGGGAAAGAUUUAUCGCCUCUAGAGCGGCCCGCGUCUGAUUAGCUAGUUGGUGAGGUAAUGGCUCACCAAGGCGACGAUCAGUAGCUGGUCUGAGAGGAUGGCCAGCCACAUUGGGACUGAGACACGGCCCAAACUCCUACGGGAGGCAGCAGUGGGGAAUCUUGCGCAAUGGGCGAAAGCCUGACGCAGCCAUGCCGCGUGGAUGAUGAAGGUCUUAGGAUUGUAAAAUCCUUUCACCGGUGAAGAUAAUGACUGUAGCCGGAGAAGAAGCCCCGGCUAACUUCGUGCCAGCCGCCGCCGUAA
rnacentral:rRNA from 1 species